rnacentral:rRNA from 1 species
GAGUUUGAUCNUGGCUCAGAUUGAACGCUGGCGGCAUGCCUUACACAUGCAAGUCGAACGGCAGCACGGACUUCGGUCUGGUGGCGAGUGGCGAACGGGUGAGUAAUGUAUNGGAACGNNCCUUUCAGUGGGGGAUAACGUAGCGAAAGUUACGCUAAUACCGCAUAUUCUGUGAGCAGGAAAGCAGGGGAUCGCAAGACCUUGCGCUGAUUGAGCGGCCGAUAUCAGAUNAGCUAGUUGGUGGGGUAAAAGCUCACCAAGGCGACGAUCUGUAGCGGGUCUGAGAGGAUGAUCCGCCACACUGGAANUGAGACACGGUCCAGACUCCUACGGGAGGCAGCAGA